rnacentral:pre_miRNA from 1 species
AGGAGGAACAACAGCAGUGGCGUGGCAGCUCUGGAUACCUGGAUUCAGCCCCCACAGGAAGUCUGGAGCACUCCGCCUGCAGGGCCUGGAGUCUCCGGGGGGCG